rnacentral:snRNA from 2 species
CUUUGCUUCGGCAAGGCAUAAACUUUAGUUGGAACGAUACAGAGAAGAUUAGCAUGGUCCCUGCGCAAGGAUGACACACAAAAUGGUGAAACGUUUCGAGCGUCU